AUGACAAAGAACGAGAAGAAGCCCCUCCACCAGAGCCUGGCCAGUGGAAGCUCUUAUCUACAACCUGACCACCAGAGAGUUAGUUCCUGGGGUGCACCGCCAAGAGCUGGGGUUUGAUCUUGCUCUUCUACCUAGUUUUUUAUGGAUUCCUGGCUAUAUUCUUCUCAUUCAUGAUGUGGGUUAUGCUUCAGACUCUCAACAAUGAGGUUCCAAAAUAUCGUGACCAGGUUCCUAUCCCAGGACUUACGGUUUUUCCAAAACCAGUUUAACUGCAUUGGAAUAUACAUUUAGUAUGUCUGACCCAACUUCCUAUGCAGAGUACAUUGCAGACUUUAAGAAGUUUCUCACAACCUGUCCUGAUGGAGCACUUUUUGAACAGAAGGGUCCAGCUUAUGUUGCAUGUCAGUUUCCUCUUUUGUUACUUCAAGCAUGCAGUGGUAUGAGUGAUCCUGGCUUUGGCUAUUUAAAGGAAAACCUUGUAUUCUUGUGAAAAUGAACAGAAUAAUUGGAUUAAAGCCUGAAGGAGUGCCAAGGAUAGAUUGUAUUUUGAAGAAUGAAGAUCAAACAAAUAUAACAACUUAUUCUCAUAGUGGAAUUAUGGACUUAAAAUAUUUCCCAUAUUGUGGGGAAAAAACUGUACAUGGGGUGUCUACAGCCAUUAGUUGCUGUUCAGGUUACCUUGACCCCUAACAGUGCUGAGAAAGAAUUAACAGUUGAGUGCAAGAUUGAUGGAUCACCUAACCUAAAAAGCCAGGAUGAUCAUGACAAGUUUUUGGGACAAGUUAUGUUCAAAACCACAGCAUGUGCAUAGUAUGAGUAGGAUAUCUCCAUAGGGUAAAUGUUGUGUUGUCUGUCUUCAUUUUGUAUCAGCUGGACCUGCCAUUCUAGAGUUAUGAGACCACCUUGGAGAAAGGUGUGUGGUACAUGACACUGAGUAACAUCAUAACAUUCUUCCAGAUCAUUGUGUUCUGUGUCCUCUGAAGUAACUGCCUGUUGCCUCUGCUGCCCUUUGAACCAGUGUACAGUCGCCAGAUAGGGACUAGUGAAUACCUUAUUCCAAACAUAUAGGAUGGGGGUCUUGGCGUCUUUUUAUGUGGUCUAAUUGCCAAGUUCUAAAGCUUAAUAUGCUGUGCUUUGUAAGUAUUUUAUGGAUAUAACACUGGUCAGCUGUCAUGUUUUGAUGUCAACAAAGUUUUAGGGAUAAAAUGGUACCCGGCCAACAUCAAGUGACUUGAUAGCUGCAAGAGUGUGGUGUGUGGAGAAGUUCUGAAUGUGGGGAAGGAAAAAA